AGGUUCUUCUGUGGUAUGUUUUCAUGGUGUGGGAAUAAGACUUGGUGGUCUAAUACAGCUAAUACGAAGGUUAGCAUCACAGCUUGUCUGUAAAGAUUGAAGCUGGGAGUGGGCAUUGGAGCUGACUUUUAUGGUAACUGUGGCUGCAUAAAAGGGCUAUGUGAUUUUACUGUAACAGUAAAGAAUGUAAUUCAGACUAUUUUUGUGUAUGUUUGAGAAAAUGUUUAUAAUUUUUACAAAAAGAAAAAAAAAAUGUACAGGUUCUCCAUUUUCAACAAGAUUGGAAGUUGUAGGUUAAUAGGUCUUUGAAAUUUCAAAAAUUACUUUCUAUUUUCUGUUCAUACUCAUGUCUAGGCAAAACACUUCCAGUAGUUUAAGAAUGGAGAAUCUAAAAAAAAAGAAAAAGAAAAAGAAAAAAAUGUUCAAUUAUUGAAAUGUUUUUUAUUUUUGCAAAUUGUAAUAUAUUUUUUCACCUUUGUGUCAUUUUUAGCUGAGUUUAUAACAAAAGGUAUACUAUUUUAAGAAUAUUUUACAAGAAGCAUAGUUGAAUAUCUUGAUGAAAGUAGAUUGAUUGAUUUUUGGUAUUUAACACCACUUUCAGCAUGAUUUGCUAUAUCUUGGCUGCCAGUUUUUAUUUGUGGAGACAGCCUGGUGAAAACAUCCCCUUAAACAGAGAAACUGGCAACUCUAGUCAAUUAAGAUUGAUGUUAAACACACCUACAAUGUGAGGGUUCAGAGUGUUGA